rnacentral:lncRNA from 1 species
CCCACUGCAUGUUGGCUGAUGCCACAAAUUCCUAGUUGACUGGAAGAAAACCAGCUGGCCUUCUGCAAAUGUUCACUGACGCAUCUCAGCCAUCGGGAGCGGGGAAAAGCAAAGGGAGCCCUGAAGCUGUCUCACAGGCACAAAACCAGAAGAGGAAAAAAGGUAAAUAUGGAUUAUUGCGCUGCAUGAGCGCAAAUAGGGAGCAGGUAAAAGAAUAACAGUCAUAAAACUCAAAAUGAAAAUUAAAGGUUCACUUUCUAAUA